rnacentral:rRNA from 1 species
UACGAAGGGGGCUAGCGUUGCUCGGAAUCACUGGGCGUAAAGGGUGCGUAGGCGGGUCUUUAAGUCAGGGGUGAAAUCCUGGAGCUCAACUCCAGAACUGCCCUUGAUACUGAAGAUCUUGAGUUCGGGAGAGGUGAGUGGAACUGCGAGUGUAGAGGUGAAAUUCGUAGAUAUUCGCAAGAACACCAGUGGCGAAGGCGGCUCACUGGCCCGGUACUGACGCUGAGGUGCGAAAGCGUGGGGAGCAAACAGG